rnacentral:rRNA from 1 species
GGGAGCACAGGUUUACCUGUGUGACUGCGUACCUUUUGUAUAAUGGGUCAGCGACUUAUAUUCUGUAGCAAGGUUAACCGAAUAGGGGAGCCGGAGGGAAACCGAGUCUUAAUUGGGCGUUAAGUUGCAGGGUAUAGACCCGAAACCCGGUGAUCUAGCCAUGGGCAGGUUGAAGGUUGGGUAACACUAACUGGAGGACCGAACCGACUAAUGUUGAAAAAUUAGCGGAUGACCUGUGGCUGGGGGUGAAAGGCCAAUCAAACCGGGAGAUAGCUGGUUCUCCCCGAAAGCUAUUUAGGUAGCGCCUCGUGAAUUCAUCUCCGGGGGUAGAGCACUGUUUCGGCUAGGGGGCCAUCCCGGCUUACCAACCCGAUGCAAACUGCGAAUACCGGAGAAUGUUAUCACGGGAGACACACGGCGGGUGCUAACGUCCGUCGUGAAGAGGGAAACAACCCAGACCGCCAGCUAAGGUCCCAAAGUCAUGGUUAAGUGGGAAACGAUGUGGGAAGGCCCAGACAGCCAGGAUGUUGGCUUAGAAGCAGCCAUCAUUUAAAGAAAGCGUAAUAGCUCACUGGUCGAGUCGGCCUGCGCGGAAGAUGUAACGGGGCUAAACCAUGCACCGAAGCUGCGGCAGCGAACGUAUCACUUAAAGCGAUUCAGCGGGUUACGAU